GACCUUAAGUGUAUUUACACACCGAAUAAUGAAGUGGAUAGAAAACAAUACUUUGAUUCAUUAAAAUUUGAUGAAACAGCCAAUCAUAAAAUUAUAUGCGGUGACUUUAAUUGCACACAAAACAAACACCUUGAUAGACAGCCCGUGCCCCUACGCAAGGAUAUUGCUGCAUCAGAACUUAAUGAAUUAAUAAAACGAUAUGAAUUGCAAGAUAUUUGGCUAGAAAGAAAUCUUGAAAAAAUAUGUUAUACAUUUCACAGGGGCAAUUCAAAAUCAAGAAUAGAUUUUUUCCUAACAAGUGAAAAUAUAUUGCACAAAUUAAAUAACUGUGCCAUAAUACACUUUCCAUUUAGCGAUCAUGAUUUGAUAACACUAAAACUACAAGUGGAUAAUAUCCAAAGAGGUCCAGGAUUAUGGACAAUGAAUCAUAAAACAUUAACAAACGAAGAUUUCCGAAAAAAAAAAAAAAAACAUUUGUUGCAUUCUGGGAAAAUUACAAAAACAGUUUAGACAUUUGUCAGGAUAUUCUAUAUUGGUGGGACUUAACUAAAUAUAAGAUAAAAACAUUGUGUAUUGAGAUGUCAAAAAAUUAAAUGACUAAUAAACAAAAACUUGAGAAAUAAGAAAAAGAAUUAGAAGAGAUUAAAAACAAUCUUAAAACUGAUAAAAAGUAUCAAAACGAUCUUGAACAAAAAAUUAGAGAAAUAUAUAUAGAUAAGACAGAAGCGGCAAUAAUACGAUCAAAAUGUAGGUGGUUUAAAGGAGAAGCUCCUUCAAAACAUUUCUUUCAAUUAGAAAAGAGUAAUGGAGAGAAAAAAUUGUGAAGUGGAAUUAAAACAGAAAAAGGUACUUAUAAAACUGACAUUGAUUCAAUUAUUGAAGAGCAAAUAAUUUUUUAUUACAAAUUAUUAAAUACAGAGGAUUGGGAUAGCGAAAGUGGAAAAUUACUAUUAGCGGAAGUACAAUGUAGAUUAGAUGAGGAUGUUGUAAACAUGCUCGAUAGUGAUAUAAAUGAUAACGAAAUAUAUAAAGCAGUUAUGUCAUAAAACCAAAUAAAUCUCCUGGAGAAGAUGGGAUUUUAUCAACUUUUUAUCAGAUAUACCGGGAUAUAAUUAAAACUGAAUUUUCAAAAAUUAUAAAACACAUUUUUCAUAAGGCUACACUCUGUGAAUCAUAAACAAAAGGAGUCAUUUCAUUAAUACAUAAAGGGAAUGAAAGAGAAGAUAUAAAAAAUUGGAGACCAUUAACAAUGCUCAACAAUGAUUAUAAAAUUAUUGCUAAAAUUCUCCCCGAAAAGAUUAAAAGCAGCACUGCCAAAAUUAAUUCAUCCAGAUCAAAAAGGGUUUGUAAAGGGUAGAAAUAUCAGUGAUGCUAAUAGGCUGAUUCAAGAUAUCAUUGAUUAUGCAGAUAAUGAAGAUUUAGAAGGGGCAAUUAUAUUUCUAGAUCAACAGAACGCUUUUGACAGAAUAGAAUGGGGCUGAAUAGAAGCAACAUUAAAGAGAUUUAACUUUGGUAGCAAAUAUUGCAAUUGGAUAAAAAUGCUUCUUAUAAAGUCAAAAACUUGCAUUAAAACAAAUGAUUUGUAUCAAAAUACUUUACAAUUUCAAGAUCAGCAAGACAAGGAUGUCCUAUUGCCCCUUUGCUUUAUGUUCUUCAAAUAGAGCCUAUGGCUUGUGCAAUUAGACAGAAUCCUCAGAUAAAGGGCAUCUUAAUUCC